rnacentral:rRNA from 1 species
UACGUAGGGGGGCAAGCGUUGUCCGGAUUUAUUGGGCGUAAAGAGCGUGUAGGCGGUUUGGUAGGUCCGCUGUGAAAACUCGAGCUCAACCUCGAGACGCCGGUGGAAACCAUCAGACUAGAGUCCGGAAGAGGAGAGUGGAAUUCCUGGUGUAGCGGUGAAAUGGCGCAGAUAUCAGGAAGAACACCCGUGGCUAAGGCGGCUCUCUAGUACGGUACUGACGCUGAGACGCGAAAGCGUGGGGAGCGAACAGG